GAUGAACGCUGGCGGCGUGCCUAAUACAUGCAAGUCGAGCGAAUGGAUUGAGAGCUUGCUCUUAUGAAGUUAGCGGCGGACGGGUGAGUAACACGUGGGUAACCUGCCCAUAAGACUGGGAUAACUCCGGGAAACCGGGGCUAAUACCGGAUAACAUUUUGAACCGCAUGGUUCGAAAUUGAAAGGCGGCUUCGGCUGUCACUUAUGGAUGGACCCGCGUCGCAUUAGCUAGUUGGUGAGGUAACGGCUCACCAAGGCAACGAGGCGUAGCCGACCGGAGAGGGUGAGCGGCCACACUGAGACUGAGACACGGCCCAGGCUCCUACGGGAGGCAGCAGUAGGGAAUCUUCCGCAAUGGACGAAAGUCUGACGGAGCAACGCCGCGUGAGUGAUGAAGGCUUUCGGGUCGUAAAACUCUGUUGUUAGGGAAGAACAAGUGCUAGUUGAAUAAGCUGGCACCUUGACGGUACCUAACCAGAAAGCCACGGCUAACUACGUGCCAGCCGCCGCGGUAA
rnacentral:rRNA from 1 species